UCGUAACGGGCACGGAGAAUGUCCUUCACAUGUGUAUAAAAACUCAGCGUUGUUACUGCUCGGGGACGUCAUUUCCACAGAGCACCGUGAUACGUGCCUGUGUAUUUGACCUCCUACUUGCAAGCAAAAAAAUUGACUUUUUGCAACUUUGAUCAUUCAUCAAGACUCUAUUUUAUCAGACAAAUCAUUCUCUUCUACCGAGCUUUUAUUGAAAUAUUCCAUAACAGCCUUCUUUUGUGUAGCCUCUGCCAUGCUUGCUAACUGCUAGCCUUAGCAGUGAUUUUGAAGUUGUGGAGGUCCGUCGAUUGUGCACGCGUCUCUUCAGUUGCAUGCUCUUAAGAGGAGCUGUCGGGGCGUUUCUGUAUGCGAAUCCAGGUGCACUAGAACGCACGUUUGGUCUGAGGGAGCAGUGGUUGGUCCGGUUGGAUCAGAGGAACCAGCACCAGCAGAGUUUCUUCGAGGAGAGAACGAAACGUGCUCGGAAAGCUCAGCAGAACCUCGAGAGGCUGGAUUCCCCCUAAAACAGAUCGAGCUGGAGAACAUUACCACGUCUCCUCCACCAAUCGGCUCGCAGUGGAGGUUCAGCUGCUCAGGAGGCAUUUGUAGUAAUGCAAUUUGGACAAAUACACAUGAAUCAGAUAUUUUGAAGCUCAGUUCAGCUUACAAGAUCUUUGUCACAGAUGGAGAAAAUUAUUUUCAAUGUCUCAAUAAGAUCAGCUUUAAUGUAGAAUUCUAUCAAAAUAUGUUAAUAACAAGUUAUUGUGUGAUAUUGUCAGCGUAAGAAGAAGAAGACAGAACCAUAAUUAUGUAUUCACGUCAGCAUUCUCUCGGUUUCAAACCACACACAUGUGGUGCUGUUCGGUAAUUCUCGAUUCACAGGUGGAUUUUGGGUGGUGCAAAACAACCUGUGUUUGGAUCAUGUUUGGAGGGCAGAUUUUGGGUGCACCGUUGAACACACUUCAAACAGGGCCGUAACAGAAUAAAGCUCAUCUUUAACCGUCUUGAUUAUGUUUUAACAGUCGCAACUGUUUCCCAAAGUCAUCGAGUUGUAUUUCUAGAUGUGAGGUCGGAGCCGGCGACUGCACAUACAAAGCUACUAUCGCUCGACACACUUAGUGUAUAGAAAAAUACAAUAUGAUAUUACGCAUCAUCUACCCUUUACUGGCACGCAGAAACAAUAAAAGAAGACAGCACGAGUAUAGAG
ensembl:lncRNA